rnacentral:rRNA from 1 species
GACGAACGCUGGCGGCGUGCUUAACACAUGCAAGUCGAACGGAAAGGCCCUGCUUUUGUGGGGUUCUCGAUUGGCGAACGGGUGAGUAACACGUGAGUAACCUGCCCUUGACUUUGGGAUAACUUCAGGAAACUGGGGCUAAUACCGGAUAGGAGCUCCUGCUGCAUGGUGGGGGUUGGAAAGUUUCGGCGGUUGGGGAUGGACUCGCGGCUUAUCAGCUUGUUUGUGGGGUAGUGGCUUACCAAGGCUUUGACGGGUAGCCGGCCUGAGAGGGUGACCGGCCACAUUGGGACUGAGAUACGGACCAGACUCCUACGGGAGGCAGCAGUGGGGAAUAUUGCACAAUGGGCGGAAGCCUGAUGCAGCAACGCCGCGUGCGGGAUGACGGCCUUCGGGUUGUAAACCGCUUUCGCCUGUGACGAAGAGUGAGUGACGGUAAUGGGUAAAGAAGCACCGGCUAACUACGUG